rnacentral:snoRNA from 1 species
UUAGCCCUAGGUAACACCCCUGAGCGGGGGCGGAUGAGCCUGGCGGGUUACCCCGGCCAAA